rnacentral:rRNA from 1 species
CCUACGGGUGGCAGCAGUGGGGAAUAUUGGACAAUGGGCGAAAGCCUGAUCCAGCCAUGCCGCGUGUGUGAAGAAGGCCUUCGGGUUGUAAAGCACUUUCAGUGGGGAAGAAAGCCUUGGGGCUAAUACCCUCGAGGAAGGACAUCACCCACAGAAGAAGCACCGGCUAACUCCGUGCCAGCAGCCGCGGUAAUACGGAGGGUGCGAGCGUUAAUCGGAAUUACUGGGCGUAAAGCGCGCGUAGGCGGUCUGAUAAGCCGGUUGUGAAAGCCCCGGGCUCAACCUGGGAACGGCAUCCGGAACUGUCAGGCUAGAGUGCAGGAGAGGAAGGUAGAAUUCCCGGUGUAGCGGUGAAAUGCGUAGAGAUCGGGAGGAAUACCAGUGGCGAAGGCGGCCUUCUGGACUGACACUGACGCUGAGGUGCGAAAGCGUGUGUAGCAAACAGGAUUAGAUACCCGAGUAGUC